ensembl:misc_RNA Metazoa_SRP Metazoan signal recognition particle RNA
GCUGGGCAUGCUGGUGCAUGCCUGUAGUCCCAGCUACUUGGGAGGCUGAGGUGGGAGGAUGGCUGGAGUCCAGGAGGUCAAGGUUGCAGUGAGCUGCGGUGGCACCACUGCACUCCAGCCUGGGCAACAGAGCAAGACCUUGUCUUCA